rnacentral:tRNA from 4 species
UGGGGCGUCGUCAAGCGGUAAGACACAGGGCUUUGGUCCCUGCAUCCUAGGUUCGAAUCCUAGCGCCCCAG